CGCGCAGGCAGUGGAGGCUCGCGCUGCGGAGUCAGGCGGAAGUAUGAACAGGGCUUUAGCUCCAUGAGGAUGAAGUUGAUAGUCCAGAAGCAUCUGGAGCUUUUCUUUUAAGAAAUCUGUCCAUAUUCUUUUGCACUACACACGCAUCGUCACACGCUAAUUAUUAGGAUAAAACACACAGACUGAUGUUGACGUGCUGCUGACAGGUCAGAGAGGGGGAGGGAAUUAUUAUUAUUAUAUAUAUUUUUUAUUAUUAUUGUUAUGCACGUGUGUCUCUCUUAUUAUUUCAGUGUCUGUGUUAUUAUUUCAGACAUCAUAUAUUGAUCAUAUAUCGGCUAUUAAAUGUUUUAUAGCUACACAAUUUAGCAUUUUAGAAAUGUUUGAAGGAUUUCUACACGGCACCCUGCUCUCAUCAGAUGGUACACCAGUUGGGAAACACUGAAACAGACUGCACACAUUGUCCGCGUCCGUCUUCCGGGUCCAGUCCGCCGAGACUACAGCAAGAGGGAGGAGAUAAACUCCUGUCCUAUUUCUGCACCAGUGUUUAUGUGUCUGGGGGAAAAGGGGGACUUUUAUUGAAAUGAACAUGAGGGAGGUGGUUAAUAUGUGUGUAUGUUCACAUUAUGAUCAUAUUGUAUGUUCAUAUCUAUAUGUUUAUGAUGAUGUAUACUUAUCUUUAUGUGUGAGGUUGUUGUGUUCAUACUUACCUGAUAUUUAUUCUUUAUAAUGGUUCAUGCCGAAUGGGCGGGGCUUCAGCUUUAUAAGCGGGCUGCUUCCCUACAUGCGGGGGCUGAUGGAAAGUCCGAUUCAUUUCCGCGAACCGGUUCUUUCGGACAGUUUGUUUGAAUGAACCGGUUCAUCAGUUCCUUUAACGCAGUGGUCGGGAACCUAUAGCUCGCGAGCCAGAUGUGGCUCUUUUAAUGGCUGCAUCUGGCUCGCAGACAAAUCUUUAAUUAAAACAAUAAUAACGUUAAAAAUAUAAAACAUUCUCAUGUAUUUCAAUCCAUUCAUUUGCUACCGCUCAUGUUCAUGGUUGCGGGUGGCUGGAGCCAAUCACAGCUGUCCUCCGGGACAACACCAAUUUUUUAUUGGAUAAUGCGUAACGCACACGGGUCGUUGUGAGGUCAGGAAGUAAACUUCCCUCCUUUUAGUCAAGUAGUCAGCUAGCUAAUUGCAGAAACCCUUUUGUCGAAGAAGAUGUCUAAAAGAAAAAAAGAUGAGUAUCGUACUUUUCAGCAGGAAUGGACAGAGGAAUUCGCCUUUGUGGAGAGAGCAGCUUCUGCAGUGUGUCUAAUAUGCAAUGAUGAAAUUGCAUCGAUGAAACGGUCAAAUAUAAAGCAGCACUUCGACACACGCCAUACUACAUAGCGGCUUCACAUCUAAUCUCCUGCAGUCAUUCAAAGCGCGCUUUGGAGAAUUUCGUGAGCGCACUCGUCUUUUUAAGUUCAUCACCCAUCCACACGAGUGUGCAGUGGACAGGCCGACCUGAGUUACAGCCCCGGUGUCUCCGUCAGAGAUCCUGAGCUACAAGCUGCUGACCUGAAGGCCUCAGACAUGUGGGUGAAGUGAAUAAGUUCAAGUCGCUGGAUGAAGAUUUGGGAAGACUUGCACGACAGCAAGCAGAGUUGGCGAGCAAACACAAGUGGGGAGAAAUGAAAAAACUUCAACCCGCGGACCAGCUGAUUGUCAAAACUUGGAACGCGCUUCCCGUCACAUAGCACACACUGCAGCGUGUGAGUAUUGCUGUACUGACCAUGUUUGGCUCUACGUAUGCAUGUGAGCAGUCUUUCUCACAUCUAAAGAACAUUAAGAUCAACCUACGAUCAUGUUUAACGGAUGGAAGUCUCAACGCCUGCAUGAAGCUUAACCUCACCACGUAUCAACCAGACUACAAAGCCAUCAGCAAAACCCUGCAGCACCAGAAGUCGCAUUAAUGCCAAGAAGUACUUUAUUCAUCAUUGGUUAGAAACAGCACAACAACGUUAUUAAAAAGAAUUCAGAGACUUAUUGUACUUUAAAAGUGUUGGUCUUACAUAAAAUGCACACAUUUACUUGUAUUUAGUUUUAAACAUAUUGUAUGGCUCACGGAAUUACAUUUUAAAAUAUGUGGCGUUCAUGGCUGUCUCAGCCAAAAAGGUUCCCGACCCCUGCUUUAACAUCAUCAAGCAAUGGCGUAGUGCAUGUGUCUGUCAUGUUGCAUCAAUGAAACCUUCAAAUAAAGUCAUUUGUGUGAACGCA